AGAGUUUGAUCCUGGCUCAGGACGAACGCUGGCGGCGUGCCUAACACAUGCAAGUCGAGCGAUGAAGCCCUUCGGGGCUGAUUAGCGGCGGACGGGUGAGUAACACGUGGGUAACCUGCCUCAUAGAGGGGGAUAGCCUCCCGAAAGGGAGAUUAAUACCGCAUAACAUAUUUUGGUUGCAUGACCGAAAUAUCAAAGGAGUAAUCCGCUAUGAGAUGGACCCGCGGCGCAUUAGCUAGUUGGUGAGGUAAGGGCUCACCAAGGCGACGAUGCGUAGCCGACCUGAGGGGGUGAUCGGCCACAUUGGAACUGAGACACGGUCCAGACUCCUACGGGAGGCAGCAGUGGGGAAUAUUGCGCAAUGGAGGAAACUCUGACGCAGCAACGCCGCGUGAAUGAUGAAGGCCUUAGGGUUGUAAAGUUCUGUCUUCUGGGACGAUAAUGACGGUACCAGAGGAGGAAGCCACGGCUAACUACGUGCCAGCAGCCGCGGUAAUACGUAGGGGGCUAGCGUUAUCCGGAAUUACUGGGCGUAAAGGGUGCGUAGGUGGUUUCUUAAGUCAGAAGUGAAAGGCUACGGCCUCMACCSGUAGUAAGCUUUUGAAACYUAAGAGACUUGAGUGCAGGAGAGGAGAGUAGAAUUCCUAGUGUAGCSGUGAAAUGCGUAGAUAUUAGGAGGAAUACCCAGUUGCGAAGGCGGCUCUCUGGRACUGUAACUGACACUGAGGCACGAAAGCGUGGGGAGCAAACAGGAUUAGAUACCCUGGUAGUCCACGCCGUAAACGAUGAGUACUAGCUGUCGGGGGUUACCCCCCUCGGUGGCGCAGCUAACGCAUUAAGUACUCCGCCUGGGAAGUACGCUCGCAAGAGUGAAACUCAAAGGAGUUGACGGGGACCCGCACAAGUAGCGGAGCAUGUGGUUUAAUUCGAAGCAACGCGAAGAACCUUACCUAAGCUUGACAUCCUUUUGACCUCUCCCUAAUCGGAGAUUUCCCUUCGGGGCAGGGAGACAGGUGGUGCAUGGUUGCCGUCAGCUCGUGUCGUGAGAUGUUAGGUUAAGUCCUGCAACGAGCGCAACCCUUAUCAUUAGUUGCUACCAUUAAGUUGAGCACUCUAGUGAGACUGCCCGGGUUAACCGGGAGGAAGGUGGGGAUGACGUCAAAUCAUCAUGCCCCUUAUGUCCAGGGCUACACACGUGCUACAAUGGCCGGUACAGACGGAAGCGAAGCCGCGAGGUGGAGCGAAUCCGAGAAAGCCGGUCUCAGUUCGGAUUGUUCUCUGCAACUCGAGAACAUGAAGUCGGAGUCGCUAGUAAUCGCAGGUCAGCAUACUGCGGUGAAUACGUUCCCGGGCCUUGUACACACCGCCCGUCACACCACGAAAGUCUGCAACACCCGAAGCCGGUGAGCUAACCGUAAGGAGGUAGCCGUCGAAGGUGGGGCCGAUGAUUGGGGUGAAGUCGUAACAAGGUAACCGU
rnacentral:rRNA from 1 species